rnacentral:rRNA from 1 species
GGGUUGUGAGGUUAAGCGACUAAGCGUACACGGUGGAUGCCCUGGCAGUCAGAGGCGAUGAAGGACGUGCUAAUCUGCGAUAAGCGUCGGUAAGGUGAUAUGAACCGUUAUAACCGGCGAUUUCCGAAUGGGGAAACCCAGUGUGUUUCGACACACUAUCAUUAACUGAAUCCAUAGGUUAAUGAGGCGAACCGGGGGAACUGAAACAUCUAAGUACCCCGAGGAAAAGAAAUCAACCGAGAUUCCCCCAGUAGCGGCGAGCGAACGGGGAGCAGCCCAGAGCCUGAAUCAGUGUGUGUGUUAGUGGAAGCGUCUGGAAAGGCGCGCGAUACAGGGUGACAGCCCCGUACACAAAAAUGCACAUGCUGUGAGCUCGAUGAGUAGGGCGGGACACGUGGUAUCCUGUCUGAAUAUGGGGGGACCAUCCUCCAAGGCUAAAUACUCCUGACUGACCGAUAGUGAACCAGUACCGUGAGGGAAAGGCGAAAAGAACCCCGGCGAGGGGAGUGAAAAAGAACCUGAAACCGUGUACGUACAAGCAGUGGGAGCCUCUUUAUGGGGUGACUGCGUACCUUUUGUAUAAUGGGUCAGCGACUUAUAUUCUGUAGCAAGGUUAACCGAAUAGGGGAGCCGAAGGGAAACCGAGUCUUAACUGGGCGUUAAGUUGCAGGGUAUAGACCCGAAACCCGGUGAUCUAGCCAUGGGCAGGUUGAAGGUUGGGUAACACUAACUGGAGGACCGAACCGACUAAUGUUGAAAAAUUAGCGGAUGACUUGUGGCUGGGGGUGAAAGGCCAAUCAAACCGGGAGAUAGCUGGUUCUCCCCGAAAGCUAUUUAGGUAGCGCCUCGUGAAUUCAUCUCCGGGGGUAGAGCACUGUUUCGGCAAGGGGGUCAUCCCGACUUACCAACCCGAUGCAAACUGCGAAUACCGGAGAAUGUUAUCACGGGAGACACACGGCGGGUGCUAACGUCCGUCGUGAAGAGGGAAACAACCCAGACCGCCAGCUAAGGUCCCAAAGUCAUGGUUAAGUGGGAAACGAUGUGGGAAGGCCCAGACAGCCAGGAUGUUGGCUUAGAAGCAGCCAUCAUUUAAAGAAAGCGUAAUAGCUCACUGGUCGAGUCGGCCUGCGCGGAAGAUGUAACGGGGCUAAACCAUGCACCGAAGCUGCGGCAGCGACGCUUAUGCGUUGUUGGGUAGGGGAGCGUUCUGUAAGCCUGCGAAGGUGUGCUGUGAGGCAUGCUGGAGGUAUCAGAAGUGCGAAUGCUGACAUAAGUAACGAUAAAGCGGGUGAAAAGCCCGCUCGCCGGAAGACCAAGGGUUCCUGUCCAACGUUAAUCGGGGCAGGGUGAGUCGACCCCUAAGGCGAGGCCGAAAGGCGUAGUCGAUGGGAAACAGGUUAAUAUUCCUGUACUUGGUGUUACUGCGAAGGGGGGACGGAGAAGGCUAUGUUGGCCGGGCGACGGUUGUCCCGGUUUAAGCGUGUAGGCUGGUUUUCCAGGCAAAUCCGGAAAAUCAAGGCUGAGGCGUGAUGACGAGGCACUACGGUGCUGAAGCAACAAAUGCCCUGCUUCCAGGAAAAGCCUCUAAGCAUCAGGUAACAUCAAAUCGUACCCCAAACCGACACAGGUGGUCAGGUAGAGAAUACCAAGGCGCUUGAGAGAACUCGGGUGAAGGAACUAGGCAAAAUGGUGCCGUAACUUCGGGAGAAGGCACGCUGAUAUGUAGGUGAAGCGACUUGCUCGUGGAGCUGAAAUCAGUCGAAGAUACCAGCUGGCUGCAACUGUUUAUUAAAAACACAGCACUGUGCAAACACGAAAGUGGACGUAUACGGUGUGACGCCUGCCCGGUGCCGGAAGGUUAAUUGAUGGGGUUAGCGGUAACGCGAAGCUCUUGAUCGAAGCCCCGGUAAACGGCGGCCGUAACUAUAACGGUCCUAAGGUAGCGAAAUUCCUUGUCGGGUAAGUUCCGACCUGCACGAAUGGCGUAAUGAUGGCCAGGCUGUCUCCACCCGAGACUCAGUGAAAUUGAACUCGCUGUGAAGAUGCAGUGUACCCGCGGCAAGACGGAAAGACCCCGUGAACCUUUACUAUAGCUUGACACUGAACAUUGAGCCUUGAUGUGUAGGAUAGGUGGGAGGCUUUGAAGUGUGGACGCCAGUCUGCAUGGAGCCGACCUUGAAAUACCACCCUUUAAUGUUUGAUGUUCUAACGUUGGCCCCUGAUCGGGGUUGCGGACAGUGUCUGGUGGGUAGUUUGACUGGGGCGGUCUCCUCCUAAAGAGUAACGGAGGAGCACGAAGGUUGGCUAAUCCUGGUCGGACAUCAGGAGGUUAGUGCAAUGGCAUAAGCCAGCUUGACUGCGAGCGUGACGGCGCGAGCAGGUGCGAAAGCAGGUCAUAGUGAUCCGGUGGUUCUGAAUGGAAGGGCCAUCGCUCAACGGAUAAAAGGUACUCCGGGGAUAACAGGCUGAUACCGCCCAAGAGUUCAUAUCGACGGCGGUGUUUGGCACCUCGAUGUCGGCUCAUCACAUCCUGGGGCUGAAGUAGGUCCCAAGGGUAUGGCUGUUCGCCAUUUAAAGUGGUACGCGAGCUGGGUUUAGAACGUCGUGAGACAGUUCGGUCCCUAUCUGCCGUGGGCGCUGGAGAACUGAGGGGGGCUGCUCCUAGUACGAGAGGACCGGAGUGGACGCAUCACUGGUGUUCGGGUUGUCAUGCCAAUGGCACUGCCCGGUAGCUAAAUGCGGAAGAGAUAAGUGCUGAAAGCAUCUAAGCACGAAACUUGCCCCGAGAUGAGUUCUCCCUGAGACUUUAAGUCUCCUGAAGGAACGUUGAAGACGACGACGUUGAUAGGCCGGGUGUGUAAGCGCAGCGAUGCGUUGAGCUAACCGGUACUAAUGAACCGUGAGGCUUAACCUUACAACGCCGAAGGUGUUU